rnacentral:lncRNA from 1 species
UUUUUUUUUUUUUUUUUUAAGGGCUGCACCCGCAGCGUGUGGAGGUUCCCAAGCCGGUCGAAUUGGAGCUACAGCUGCUGGCCUGCACCACAGCCACAGCAACACCACAUCUGAGCCAUGUCUGCAACCUACACCACAGCUCAUGGCAACGUCAGAUCCUUAACCCACUGAGCGAGGCCAGAGAUUGAACCUGCAUCCUCAUGGACGCUAGUCAGAUUUUUUUCCACUGAGCUAUGACGACAACUCCUAAACUGGGCAGUUUGGGGCAGAACAGAUGAAGAUUCUGUAGCCUUAGAUGAGUCCCUUUGACCCCUCUUCAUAUUUAAACCAGGAGUAACAAUCCCUACUUUGUAAAAGUCGUAAAGGAUGGAAAUGAUGCAUGCACAGCAUGUGGCAGGUGGUAAAUGCUUAGGGAACUGUGGUGGUGGUGAUGGUGUUUGAUGUUCUAAUAAUAAUCAGCAGCACCUAAUUUGAGGCAUUAUGCUUGUUAAUUAUUCAGCAGCUCCAUUCAGUUUUCUGAUGUUGUCCUUGUCACUCACAGGUGCUCCAGGUAGCUGAGUGCAGGAAGUUUAAUCUUAGCCUGCUGAAUAAAUGGCUCUUCUCCGAUGCUAUGUUUCUGUCAUAUGAGAGCGUGACUUCGUGUCAUGGAGAAAAACACGCUAAAGUCACUGUGCAGCCAUUUAUAAUGGCCCGCGUUUUUAAAAAAAAUAAAAUUUGGAAACUGCUUACCUUAAUAGUGUAGACGUGACUAUGGAUAUUAAAGUACAUUUUAUAAUUUUAAAAUGAUAUAUGCAGGCUGUUUGGGGACAUGGGAAUGCAUAUUUUACAUAAUAACUGAAAAUGGUAUGUUGCAUUUCUUCACUAGUGUCAGCUUGAUAAAUGUUUCUAUAAAAUUGAAAUCAAGGAAACUUCAGAAUACAGUAAAUAGGGUUGUAAUGUUCAUUGUUUUCUUAGCUUUCCACAAAAUGGUGUAAUUUUCUAAAAAUUGUUAUGACCUAUUGUCUUAAAAAUGUAAUAACCUUCCUUUACUCAUUCUUAAGACAGCUCUUUCAGUGUUCCCAAUGAUAGGCUUGAAGGUGAACUUCUGGAAUAUAAUUAUUUUGGAAAUUAGGCCUCUUUGGUUGUUUUAUUCUUUCUGGGUUGCCAAAAUUUUGUGUAUGUACAAUAAGCCAGAGAAGGUGGGAAGUUUGAACAGAAGAUAUAUAUAUCUUCUGAGCCAUGACAGGAACGCCAGGUUCAUAUUUUUAAUUAAUCCCAUACCAAUAGAGAAAUGCAUAGGUCGACAUACCAUUCUAUAGAAAUUUACAUGGUAGUUUGGGACCUGAUGGUUUAAAAAAGCUGAAGCUUUUUUUUUUUUUUUUUUUCUUAAAUUCCCCUGAUCUAAUGACUUGGGAUACACUGUAAUCUCCAUGAAGACAGGAAGUUCUCAUAUAUGAUUUUAUAUCCUUGGCACCUAGCUCAAUAUAUGGAAUCCAGUAGGCAUUUAUUUGGCUGUAAAAAAAUAAAUAAAUAACAUAAAAUAACUAAAGGCUUUUUUAAGGACACCUGGCAGUGAUUUAUAUAAAUUAGGGCCUCUCUGUGUUCUCAUUUUUCUUUUUCCCUCUUUAUCGCAUCUAACUGGACUCUAAUAAGGCAGGGCUGUUUUACAUCAGAGAGCAGUGCCUCCAGGCACUGCGGAUGAUACUGAACUUGGGCAUGAGAUGAAGUUGGCAUUGCAGCUAUCCACCCAGAGAGCUGACAGAUUGACACAGAAAUACUUAAGAAAUAAUGCUGCAUUAAUUGAGGUUUUUAAAAUAGAGACUUUGGGGGAGUUCCCAUCAUGGCUUAGUGGUAAUGAACCUGACUAGUAUCCAUGAGGACGUGGGUUCGAUCCCUGACCUCGCUCAGUGGGUUAAGGUUCUGGUGUUGCCAUGCUCAGUGGGUUAAGGUUCCGGUGUUGCCAUGAGCUGUGGUGUAGGUCACAGGCUCGGCACGGGUCCUGUGUUGCUAUGGUUGUGGUGUAGGCCGGCAGCUGCAGCUCUGAUUCGACCCCUAGCCUGGGAACUUCCAUGUGCCAUGGGUACAGCCCUAAAAAAAUAAAUAAAUAAAAUAGAGACUUUUUAAUCUCAAAAAAGGAAUAGAAUGAGGCAAACAUCAAGUUAUAGUCCUUUAGAGAAAGAGGAAGUGGAGGAAGGCGACAGACAACUGAAAUGCAUUUUGGUACUUUUCUCUGGUGGCUGCAUUCCAGAGGAUUGAUAACUCCCAGAGGCGUGAAGCAGUGGGUUUGUGUUUCAUUCGUAAUGAGCGCGUGUUCUAUGUGUUCCCCCCACCCACUUGUCAGCAAGAGUGUGAGGCCAUGAUGGUGAAAUCAACUCACUGGCUGGUUGGCUCCGGCACCUACUUUUGUCCUUUCAUUGUCUCAUUGGGUUUCACGUUUGUCAUGUAUACGGCUGUCUCUGAGUCAUAUUUGCUUGUCUGUCUCUCUGUCUGUCUGUCUUCCUGCCUGGAAGGAAACCUGCCUUAAAUUUUAGCAAAGGUCUUUUCUACUGAUUAAUUAAUUUAUGGGCAAAGAUAGAGAAAAAGCCACAUGGGUGCCAUGCCUUUUUAUUUCAGGACUCGACAUGGACCUUCCCUCUCAUGUUUUAGGACGUUUUAUGACAAUUGCACUUACGAAGGGGCAGCCUCAGUUUAAAAUGGUGGCUUAAGGACAGCAGGGGUUACAGGGACCUCAGAUCCCUGUGAUUUUUGACAUGCGAAACUCAAAACUGAAUUUCAAAAAAGGUCUUCCCAUCACUGCUCUUGUGAAUGUUGACAUCUAAGUUGGUCUCCUCAGAUAAAUUAUGACAUUUUGAUCCAUGCAUGAGGUCGACUAAUUUAUGUGAUUAAAUUCUCAUUCAUUUGCUAGAAGAUUAAAUGCUUCAUUGAAAAAUGCCAAAGGGUAUUUUUGAUUUGGAGGCACGAUUUUAAUUGAAACACUGUCAUCCUAAUUGGAGCGUUGAGGAGUAACAAUGAAACACGGUCUUAAUUUCUAAAGUCAGUAAUUAAGCUGUAUUAAUUUUAAGGAGGCCUUCCAUAGUUUUGUCUUUACAGGAAAAGCAUUUGAAAAUAUAUUUUUGUUUUUAUCCAUGUAUAAAGUAAAAAUCAUAUGCUGAAUGUAUCAUGUACAUCUUGAUGACACCAUCCUAUGUCAGGAUGAGCCAGGGAGAGAUCAGUAAAGCAGGGACCAUCAGUAUCCCCAGCUGCAGCAUGAGGUUUGCUGCAUAAGAGGUGCUGAGUAACCAUAUAUUGAAUCUCCAAAUGACUGAUUAACUCCUGGGAGUCAGCAGUCUGGACUGUAGUACCAGGACCUCUCUAAGCCUCAGGACCUCUCUAAGCCUCAGUUUCCCCAUUUGUGAAGUGGGCAUGACAGUGUUUGCAAUGUUUGUUUGUUUGUUUUUAGGGCCACAUCUUCUGCAUAUAGAAGUUCCCAGGCUAGGGGUCAGAUCGAAACUAUAGCUACCGGCCUACACCACAGCCAUAGCGACUUGGGAUCCAAGCCGUGUCUGCAACCUACACCACAGCUCAAGGCAACACUGGAUCCCCGUCCCACUGAGCAAGGCCAGGGAUCGAACCCGCAUCCUCAUGGUUCCUAGUUGGAUUGGUUUCUGCUGUACCACAUUAGGAAUCCUGCACUGUUGUUUUAAUAGGGGACUGAGAGCGACAAAGGAAAAAUGUGUGACUCUUUGAAAACUGGAAAGGGCUUUACAUAAGCAAUCAUUUCUAGAAUUAAGCUAUGUGCUGCUUAUUGGUACUAUACACUAGUUAGUACUAGCGUCUAGUUAGCAUUCAGUAAAUGCAUAUUUAAGUUAAAAAAAGUAUUGCGUUUAAACUACCAGCUAUAAAAUAAACAAAAUACAAGGAUGUGAUAUAACCAGUGUUUUAUAACCAAUGUUUUAUAACUUUAUAUAGAGUAACUAUAACCAGUGUUUUAUAAUAACUUUAUAUAGAGUAUAAUCUAUAUAAAUAUUGAAUCACUGUUGCAUACCUGAAAUUAAUAUUGUAAGUUGACUAUUCUUCAAUUAAAAAUAAACUAAUUAAAAGGCUUGGAAACUCAAAAAAAUGUGCUAAAACUAAAAUUUAAGAGAAAUUAGUGGUGUAUCACAUUAAUUGACCUCUAAAGUCUUUUGAAAUACUUUGUUUAUCUUGACCUAAUUAUAAAUUCUUUAUGUAUUGAAUCUACUUUCAUUGUUUCAUGGGAGGGAACACUCAAAAAACAUAUACUUGGACAACUAAACCAUUAUUUCUCAGCAACAUUGCACAGUAAUAGCUUUUUAAAUACCUGUUAAGUUUUUUAUAUGUAAGAAUGAGCAAAGGAUAGUAGAACCUAUAAUGUGAAGGUUUAAGAUCUGGGUAAAUGAAAACUUGGUUUAUGAUAGAUUGCCAUCACUGCUUUAGAAAUUAGAUUCAGAUAUAUAUCACAUAAAACUCACUCUUAGAUAUGCUGGAAAUUUAAUGGCCAGGUUUUAUUGAAAUGAGAUCUUGUGGGUUUUGAUGAAGAAAAUCAAUCAGUAUAUGCCUUAUCUUUUAUUCUUUCUUCUUGCUGCUCAGUGUGCAAUUAAAUUGACUCUGCAGGAUCACAGUGUGUAGCAUAUAUUAAUUUUAUACUCGCCCUGUCUGUAUUAACUUUAUGCUAACAGUGCUGAUAAGGGACACCAAAAAUGCAUUAAUAAAGUCGUAACCAUCAGCUGAAAUCACAAGUAUUAUAGUCCUCGGUUUUGUUUUUAAUCUUCUGUCUUUAAUUAGAUGAUGUACUCAUGAUUGAACCUAUCUGAGUUUAUUUCUGCUGUACAAUGGGGCAUUUUGAUGAAGCACCGAGGAGCAAAGAUUUAUGAGACAUGACCUAAAAUUAUGUCUAGGCAGGAAGAUGGGGCACAGUCUCACAUCAGUUUUGAAAGCCUUCUAAUCAAUAUAUAUAAACUUACGUAUAUGAAUGAUGCUGGAGUCUCUGAUGAGAACCGCAAUCAUUCCCAAGUGCUGAAAAAAAAUGAAGAGAGAGGAUAAAAUAAUUGGCAGGUAGGGUUUAAAUGUCAUCAUUAUUACUCGUAAAGGCCAGGUUGGAGGGGGAGGUUUCUUUGUACGGAUAUGGAACCCCAGAGUUAAACGCAAGCCAUAGUAGCUGAGACAGGCCUGUGGGCCCAAAGGAGCAACUCAAAUUACAUCAAAGGAAAAUUUCCAGAGGGAGAGGGGAGGAGCUAAUCCCGGAGUGCUUAGUCUAGGCUUCCUGGGAAUCACCCCUUAGGUGAGUCACUCCUCCUCCCCUCCCUUCAAUGGAGUAAAUGAAGAGAUAGAACAGCCAGAAGUGUUAUUUAUCUGCUUGAACUGCCGAUCCAGGGAAAAAAGGAUUUACCCCAAUCCAAGACAGGUAAGGUUAUAUUUGAUAUUUGACAUAUUUGAUGUCACAGGAUUUGGGCAGAAAGAAAGGCAGAAGGAGAGGAAAAAACCUUACUAAGAAGACUGGUCAGGGCUUAGCGAUAAGGGGACAUUCCAGGCAAGAGGGGAUAUCUGCAAAGUCAGGGGAGGGUGAGUUUGCUUUGGAAAGGAGCUAGGCUGGCGGGUCAGGUUACAGACCUGGAAGGUCCACCCACAGGAACCAGGUCGCCCCCCUCCCUACCUCAGGACUAAGGAACAUUCAGAAAUGGGGCGCUCGAAUAUUUCUUUCUGAAUGAGGGGAAGAGGUAUUUUUGUUCUCUUUUGCCUCUAUUGCAUUCUUGCGCACUGAACUCUUGAGAAUGUUUUCAUUUAUUUGCAUGGCUCUCUCUGUAAUUUAUCUUGGCUAAUUACGUUUAACCAUAGGCUUUUAAGUAUGUAUUGAACUCGGUGACUAAUCAUCAGAUUUCCAUAGCAAAGCGUCUGUAAUUUUUUCGGAGUCGUGUGACCUACAUGAGGACGGGUUGCUGGGAGAAAUUAUUCCUGCCCUUUCCGCGAUAAAAAUCUUGCCUCUGGUUACCUUAAAAGCUACCUGUAAAAAGAUUUAGCCCUCAGAUGUUUUUAAAACUAAAGUUCAUAAUCUGUGUCAAUCAGGGUGUGUUCAGUGGAAUAGGGAGCUGGGCUCUGAUAUGUUCAAGUGCUAGCAACCCAUUGAUUUUGCAGGCUUUUUUCUUUUGGUUACGUGCUUAUAGUAU